AACGCGAAGAACCUUACCAGGCCUUGACAUCCACGGAACCCCUCAGAGACGAGGGGGUGCCCUUCGGGGAGCCGUGAGACAGGUGCUGCAUGGCUGUCGUCAGCUCGUGUCGUGAGAUGUUCGGUUAAGUCCGGCAACGAGCGCAACCCUCGCCAUUAGUUGCCAGCAGUUCGGCUGGGCACUCUAGUGGGACUGCCCGUGAAAGCGGGAGGAAGGCGGGGAUGAUGUCUAGUCAGCAUGGUCCUUACGGCCUGGGCGACACACGUGCUACAAUGGCCGGUACAGCGGGUAGCCACCUCGCGAGAGGGAGCGAAUCGCGAAAGCCGGUCCCAGUUCAGAUCGCAGUCUGCAACUCGACUGCGUGAAGUUGGAAUCGCUAGUAAUCGCGGAACAACCAUGCCGCGGUGAAUACUUUCCCGGGUCUUGUACACACCG
rnacentral:rRNA from 1 species